AUUGAACGCUGGCGGCAGGCUUAACACAUGCAAGUCGAGCGGGGUGAUGGUGCUUGCACUAUCACUUAGCGGCGGACGGGUGAGUAAUGCUUAGGAAUCUGCCUAUUAGUGGGGACAACAUCUCGAAAGGGAUGCUAAUACCGCAUACGUCCUACGGGAGAAAGCAGGGGAUCACUUGUGACCUUGCGCUAAUAGAUGAGCCUAAGUCGGAUUAGCUAGUUGGUGGGGUAAAGGCCUACCAAGGCGACGAUCUGUAGCGGGUCUGAGAGGAUGAUCCGUCACGCUGGGACUGAGCCACGGCCCAGACUGCUACGGGAGGCAGCAGUGGGGAAUAUUGGACAAUGGGGGGAACCCUGAUCCAGCCAUGCCGCGUGUGUGAAGAAGGCCUUAUGGUUGUAAAGCACUUUAAGCUAGGAGGAGGCUCUUUUGGUUAAUACCCAAGAUGAGUGGACGUUACUCGCAGAAUAAGCACCGGCUAACUCUGUGCCAGCCGCCGCAGUAA
rnacentral:rRNA from 1 species